GAUGAACGCUGGCGGCGUGCCUAAUACAUGCAAGUCGAGCGAAGCGGGGACGGGUGAGUCACACGUGUAUAACCUUCUAUAGGACUGGGAUAAGUACGGGAAACCGGAGACAAACCGGAUACUAAUAGGUGGUUCCGGGGUGGAUUAGUUAGUUGGUAAGGAAACGGCUUACCAAGGCAACGAUGCAUAGCCGACCUGAGAGGAGGAUCAGCCACACUGGAACUGAGACACGGUCCAGACUCCUACGGGAGGCAGCAGUAGGGAAUAUUGCGCAAUGGGCGAAAGCCUGACGGAGCCACGCCGCGUGAGUGAUGAAGGUCUUCGGAUCGUAAAGCUCUUUUAUUAGGGAAGCGUUACCUAAUCAGAAAGCAACGGCUAACUACGUGCCAGCAGCCGCGGUAAUUC
rnacentral:rRNA from 1 species